CUUUUAUUCAAUACGUCAUCAGAUGGGUUGAUCAGUUGAUUCACGAGGCGAAGCCCGACCCGACGCCAGCAGUGGUGAAAAAAGAAAGUCUUCUGUGAUCUACGUCCGAUACCUAAGCCGUUAAGUAGUGCCGAAACGGUUGGCUCUUAGCGCGAAAUGACGUGUGCCUACGCCUGCAUUCUAACCCAGAUCACCACGUAUCCUUAAGCUUAGCAGGCCAAUACGUUACCCACUGCGUAAUUACGGAAAUAAUCACUAGGUGAUAUAUAUGUAUAUGUUAGUUUUACAAGCAAAUCUGGCCGACUUUGAAAUCGAAUAACUUUUGAACUACGCGCUCUGAAUUUUGGCUGGUGAAUACUCCAAUCGUCUAGAAACUAGUCUCAGCGACCCACUAACAUUUUUAUGACCGGAUGAUGGAUGUGAACCCUUCAUACCGUUCCCUAGGGACAAUCUCAUUUCUACUGACAUGUGCCCUUCUCGGAUAUGGAUGAGCGCCGUACAGGUAGCGCUUGUUGGAUGUGCCACUGGGCUCUUUUCCACGCGGACAAGUUGUGGCGGAGGUUCGAAUCGGGGCGUAGACACACGGUUCGUUUCUUGCUGGCAAGGGCCAGCUGUCUGUCUGCUGCAAUACCAACUUACCGGACGUUAAACUCGAAACAUAGAGGUUAAGAGCGUUCUCUUUCAUCUGGUGAGGUUGUAGGGGCGGCAUACCCUGCCGCCUAUGAUCGUCCACACAAUUAGAUGGAAGAGGCAUAUUA
rnacentral:lncRNA from 11 species